UAGGGAAUCUUCGGCAAUGGACGGAAGUCUGACCGAGCAACGCCGCGUGAGUGAAGAAGGUUUUCGGAUCGUAAAGCUCUGUUGUUAGAGAAGAACGGUGGUAGGAGUGGAAAAUCUACCAAGUGACGGUAACUAACCAGAAAGGGACGGCUAACUACGUGCCAGCAGCCGCGGUAAUACGUAGGUCCCGAGCGUUGUCCGGAUUUAUUGGGCGUAAAGCGAGCGCAGGCGGUUCUUUAAGUCUGAAGUUAAAGGCAGUGGCUUAACCAUUGUACGCUUUGGAAACUGGAGGACUUGAGUGCAGACGGGGAGGGGGGAAUUCCAUGUGUAGCGGUGAACGGCGUAGAUAUAUGGAGGAACACCGGUGGCGAAAGCGGCUCUGUGGUCUGUAACUGUCGCUGAGGCUCGAAAGCGUGGGGAGCAAACAGG
rnacentral:rRNA from 1 species